CCUCGCCCCCCGCCCGGCAGCCGCGAGACGGAGGUGGCGGCGGAGAUCCAGGGCAGGAAAGGGCGGGGGAAGGGGGCGGUGAUGACUCUCAACGUUCGGCCCAGGGGGAGGAGUGGAGCACCUCGCGGGCACCUGAGGUGACUUCUGCCAUACAGAGGCACACUUGGAAACCAAGCCACAUGGAGAAACUGUGUGGAGGAUAAUCAAAGGCCUUCAAUCAGUAGCCCUAGCUGAGUUCCCAGCCAUCAUACAAUGUCUGUCCUCCAUGAGAAUGAGCCAUUGUGGAUAUUCUGGCCAGGUUGAGCCUUCAGAAGACUGCAGCCCUACCACAUGAUAUAAAUUGCACUGUUGGGUCCAGUUAACCCACAUAGAAAUUGUAAGAGGCUAUAAAUACUUGUUGAUUAAAGCCACUGAAUUUUGGAA